rnacentral:lncRNA from 1 species
UGUAAUUACAGGGUCUGCCGCCAAGCCUGGCCGUAAAAAACCGGGAUGAAACGGCCUGGAAGCCUAGGAAGCUGGGCCGGACACUGCAAAGAGCCCCGGGUCUUCGGCUUGCUCUGAUGCGCAGCCGCAAAGAAGGGAGGCCAGGGACGGAAACCCCCGCCCAUCACACCCUGCAACGCACACAGGCACAUCGCCACACACGCGCAAACUACCAAACACUCAGCUUUUGACUUUACAGCUCCAAGAAUGCACUCGAGCCUAAUCAAACACCUGCCCGCCAGCUCCAACUCAGGCGCAGACGCCGCCAACCCCUCUCCAGACAGCUGCUGAUUCGAGAGCUCCCACAAAGCCUACAGAGUCUCACAUAGAACCCCCCCGCGCCCCUACACUCGCCGCCCCCGUAAGUAAACACACAGCUAUGGGAGGAUCUGUGCAGACCCCGGAGCGCUCUCCGUCCCUGAGGUACCGGAGUCCUCCCUUCCAAAGCCUUUUCCCUUCCUCCACCUCGGUAGCCACCAAGCCCUGGGGCAGCGCGCGCCGGGCGGGGCGGGGGCGGGGC